GUGUUUUGCCUACUUUCUUUCAUUUACUCUUUACAGUGACCCAAAGCUGGCACUAUUUUUGUCCCACUUUUGUAAAUGAGGAAGCUAAAGCCCAGAGAGAGUGGUUAACCUGUCCAAGCUAGUGAAUCUCCAUUCAAAUCUAGAUUUGUCUGACUUCACAGCACCGGCUGUCAUCUGAUGCCACAGAAGACAUACUCUUGAAAGGAAAAAAGAAAACCCAUUGCAAAAUAUAGAUCAGGCGAUCCUAAGUUGGACUUCCUAAAAGCAGAACCCUGGAUGAGAAUUCGGGGCAAUCCAUUUAUUAUAGAAGUGCUCCAGAAGAAACUAGCAAGGGAAGGAGAAAACCCAACCAAAGCUAUGAUCUUGGCCAGGUCUCAGCUGCAGCCUGACACCCUUCAUGAGCCUCCAGAGCCUGCGGUCCACCCUGAUUUCACCCCAACCAACUGCAGACAAGGAUGCUGGCUUUCAUACUCAUACACCCUUCAAACCCUGGAUCGGGGCUGCCUGGUGGGAAGGUGGGGAACAUAGCCUCCCCCUUCCUCCUGUUCCCACUCAGAGUCAGCAAAGCAGCUCCAGGAACCUGAGAUAUCCCAUGCAGUGCACACCAAGACAUGUCCCACUGAGCGUGACUAGGGAGGAGCUCCCGCCACUCUUUUAAAUUUUAAGAAAACGGGAAAAAACUUGAAUUGAAAGUUCUGAGUGAAGACUGGAUUUCUCUCCACUUCGUUGUGAAGUUUGACACAGAGAAGAAUGUUUUCUGAUCUCUGAGUGAGUCCAGGAAACUUCUGCCAGGAGAGCAUAUCAAAGCAUGGAGCUCCUAAUGAGAUACCAGGCAAGUCGGGUCAAACCUAAGCCUCAUUUUUCUGAAACUUUGGCAACAUUCUAAAGUACUGUGAUUUCACAUUCCUCAAACUUCAAUAUAUAGAUUUUAGCUUCAAAGCCUAAAAAUGAUUCAGCCCAAAAAUAUCUAACCUGAAGAUAAAGAAGAAAUAUCUGAGUAUAGCUAAUAAAAUUAUUUCAGCUGAUUUGAGUUUUGAGAUUGCAAAUUUCCUAUAUAUGAAGAGUGACACUUUUUCAUUUCCACUUAUGUUUGAAAAUACCUCUAAAGACCUUACCACCAUGGGAUGUCAAAAUAGCAAAGGAGACUUCCUUCCCAUCUUCUUU